rnacentral:rRNA from 1 species
CUGGCAUUGCGUCUUAAGCAUGCAAGUCAAACGGGAUGUAGCAAUACAUCUAUUGGCGAACGGGUGAGUAACGCGUGGAUGAUCUACCUACGAGAUGGGGAUAACUAUUAGAAAUAGUAGCUAAUACCGAAUAAAGUCAAUUAAUUUGUUAAUUGAUGAAAGGAAGCCUUUAAAGCUUCGCUUGUAGAUGAGUCUGCGUCUUAUUAGCUAGUUGGUAGGGUAAAUGCCUACCAAGGCGAUGAUAAGUAACCGGCCUGAGAGGGUGAACGGUCACACUGGAACUGAGAUACGGUCCAGACUCCUACGGGAGGCAGCAGCUAAGAAUCUUCCGCAAUGGGCGAAAGCCUGACGGAGCGACACUGCGUGAAUGAAGAAGGUCGAAAGAUUGUAAAAUUCUUUUAUAAAUGAGGAAUAAGCUUUGUAGGAAAUGACAAAGUGAUGAC